rnacentral:pre_miRNA from 14 species
AUCUUAUGUUGUGGUCAUGGAAGUGAAAGACCCCCAGAUCGGGGAGACCCUCACUCAAGUCUCAGAUGAGGUGACCACUCAAAAAUUCACAAGAGACA